rnacentral:other from 2 species
UUUACCCUGGAGUGUUCGUAAGGGGAUUAAGUCCCUGAGCCGAUAAGCAAUACUUAAGGGUUGGUACUUGGUAACUAUUGAGCAAGCUCGGCACGUAUCGAGAAGCCUACGGUUAACUCUGCCGAUCCGCCUUGAACCAGCUGGUUCAAGGGUCCAUUUCUCCAAACGGCACUCCGGGGUACCC